AUUGAACGCUGGCGGCAGGCCUAACACAUGCAAGUCGAGCGGAUGAAGGGAGCUUGCUCCUGGAUUCAGCGGCGGACGGGUGAGUAAUGCCUAGGAAUCUGCCUGGUAGUGGGGGAUAACGUCCGGAAACGGGCGCUAAUACCGCAUACGUCCUGAGGGAGAAAGUGGGGGAUCUUCGGACCUCACGCUAUCAGAUGAGCCUAGGUCGGAUUAGCUAGUUGGUGGGGUAAAGGCCUACCAAGGCGACGAUCCGUAACUGGUCUGAGAGGAUGAUCAGUCACACUGGAACUGAGGCACGGUCCAGACUCCUACGGGAGGCAGCAGUGGGGAAUAUUGGACAAUAGGCGAAAGCCUGAUCCAGCCAUGCCGCGUGUGUGAAGAAGGUCUUCGGAUUGUAAAGCACUUUAAGUUGGGAGGAAGGGCAGUAAGUUAAUACCUUGCUGUUUUGACGUUACCAACAGAAUAAGCACCGGCUAACUUCGUG
rnacentral:rRNA from 1 species